UGGUGCUGGGAAGCCUCGUAGUCCUGCAGGGCCUCGUGGAGCACAUCCUGGAGUUUCUGCACUGCAUCCACAUCUUCAAUGUGCAUGGAGUCUGGAGAAAAAGGACACAGAAUUCUAGUGUCUGUGCCCCCUCUGUCUGCUGUGUUAUUGCUCAGUGCCACAGAGGGGAGAGGUGCUAAAGACGCCAUCCAAAAUCCCAACAGAAACAAUGCAGGAAUGCUACUGCAAGCUGUGACUCAGGGUCACUUUUAUAUCAACAUCUUGGGGGCUUCUGCUGGAAAGUGUUGAUAUGUGUGUUAAAUGUAACUGGUGG